GGUGUGUUUGGAGAUUGGCCUAAAAUAUGGGCAGUGAUACUCUGUCUCCAUGCAAAGUAUUUGCUAUUUGUCCCUGAUGGACAGACUUGUAAUUACAAGUCAUAAUUAACUAUCUCACUGCUUUAGACAAGGUGAAGGUGGAAAAAGGACCAAGUCUGAAGUGAGACUGGAAAUAUGGCGUUUUCCCCUCUUGAUUCUGUCCUCUGGUAUUUCCCCAGGUCCCUUCCUUUUAGGCAGGGAUUUCUGACUCUGCACAUCUAGACUUGGGGUUGGAGGAGCAAAAGGUGUUUGGUGGUCCCACUGACUGACUCUUUGUUUGGAACAGUGAAUGGCACAACAGGAGAAGGCCUGUCCCUGAGUGUCUCGGAACGUCGCCAGGUCGCAGAGGAGUGGGUGAUGCAAGGGAAGAACAACCUUUCUCAACUGCCUUCCCAAUCUGUAAUAUAAAUUUGAAAAUAUGACUGUCAUGUCAUUGGACAGAAAAGACAGUAUCAUCUAGUGGGAUAAACAGUAGAAGAGAAAUUACAUCUGCAGGCCCAACAUGCAGCACAAAUAGGAGCUGAUGGCAUUGCUGUCAUUGCACCUUUCUUUUUCAAG